rnacentral:rRNA from 1 species
CAAACAGCCUGGCGGAUGCUUUACACAUGCAAGUCGAGCGGCAGCGCGGGGGCAACCCUGGCGGCGAGCGGCGAACGGGUGAGUAACACAUCGGAACGUACCCAGUUGUGGGGGAUAGCCCGGCGAAAGCCGGAUUAAUACCGCAUACGACCUGAGGGUGAAAGUGGGGGAUCGCAAGACCUCACGCAGUUGGAGCGGCCGAUGGCGGAUUAGCUAGUUGGUGGGGUAAAGGCCUACCAAGGCGACGAUCCGUAGCUGGUCUGAGAGGACGACCAGCCACACUGGAACUGAGACACGGUCCAGACUCCUACGGGAGGCAGCAGUGGGGAAUUUUGGACAAUGGGGGCAACCCUGAUCCAGCCAUUCCGCGUGAGUGAAGAAGGCCUUCGGGUUGUAAAGCUCUUUCGGCAGGAACGAAACGGUGGUUACUAAUAAUAGCCACUAAUGACGGUACCUGAAGAAGAAGCACCGGCUAACUACGUGCCAGCAGCCGCGGUAAUACGUAGGGUGCGAGCGUUAAUCGGAAUUACUGGGCGUAAAGCGUGCGCAGGUGGUUUUGUAAGACAGAUGUGAAAUCCCCGGGCUUAACCUGGGAACUGCGUUUGUGACUGCAAGACUGGAGUGUGGCAGAGGGGGGUGGAAUUCCACGUGUAGCAGUGAAAUGCGUAGAGAUGUGGAGGAACACCGAUGGCGAAGGCAGCCCCCUGGGUUAACACUGACGCUCAUGCACGAAAGCGUGGGUAGCAAACAGGAUUAGAUACCCUGGUAGU